CAGGAUUAGAUACCCUGGUAGUCCACGCCGUAAACGAUGUCGACUUGGAGGUUGUUCCCUUGAGGAGUGGCUUCCGGAGCUAACGCGUUAAGUCGACCGCCUGGGGAGUACGGCCGCAAGGUUAAAACUCAAAUGAAUUGACGGGGGCCCGCACAAGCGGUGGAGCAUGUGGUUUAAUUCGAUGCAACGCGAAGAACCUUACCUACUCUUGACAUCCAGAGAACUUAGCAGAGAUGCUUUGGUGCCUUCGGGAACUCUGAGACAGGUGCUGCAUGGCUGUCGUCAGCUCGUGUUGUGAAAUGUUGGGUUAAGUCCCGCAACGAGCGCAACCCUUAUCCUUUGUUGCCAGCGAUUCGGUCGGGAACUCAAAGGAGACUGCCGGUGAUAAACCGGAGGAAGGUGGGGAUGACGUCAAGUCAUCAUGGCCCUUACGAGUAGGGCUACACACGUGCUACAAUGGCGCAUACAAAGAGAAGCGACCUCGCGAGAGCAAGCGGACCUCAUAAAGUGCGUCGUAGUCCGGAUCGGAGUCUGCAACUCGACUCCGUGAAGUCGGAAUCGCUAGUAAUCGUGGAUCAGAAUGCCACGGUGAAUACGUUCCCGGGCCUUGUACACACCGCCCGUCACACCAUGGGAGUGGGUUGCAAAAGAAGUAGGUAGCUUAACCUUCGGGAGGGCGCUUACCA
rnacentral:rRNA from 1 species